CCUACGGGGUGCUGCAGUGAGGAAUAUUGGUCAAUGGUCGGGAGCCUGAACCAGCCAAGCCGCGUGAGGGAGGAAGGUACAGAGUAUCGUAAACCUCUUUUGUCAGGGAACAAAGACUGGGACGCGUCCCCGGAUGAGUGUACCUGAAGAAAAAGCAUCGGCUAACUCCGUGCCAGCAGCCGCGGUAAUACGGAGGAUGCGAGCGUUAUCCGGAUUUAUUGGGUUUAAAGGGUGCGCAGGCGGUCUGUUAAGUCAGCGGUCAAAGCCCGGGGCUCAACCCCGGCCCGCCGUUGAAACUGGCAGUCUCGAGUUGGAGAGAAGUAUGCGGAAUGCGCGGUGUAGCGGGGAAAUGCAUAGAUAUCGCGCAGAACUCCGAUUGCGAAGGCAGCAGGCCGGCUCCACACUGACGCUGAGGCACGAAAGCGUGGGUAUCGAACAGGAUUAGAUACCCUUGUAGUC
rnacentral:rRNA from 1 species